rnacentral:rRNA from 1 species
AUUGAACGCUGGCGGCAGGCCUAACACAUGCAAGUCGAACGAGUGGCGGACGGGUGAGUAAUGUAUGGGAAACUGCCAGAUGGAGGGGGAUAACUACUGGAAACGGUAGCUAAUACCGCAUACCAUUGCAUGUGCCCAGAUGGGAUUAGCUAGUUGGUGGGGUAAAGGCGUACCAAGGCACCGAGCCCUAGCGGGUCUGAGAGGAUGACCGUCCACACUGGAACUGUGACACGGUCCAGACUCCUACGGGAGGCAGCAGGGGGGAAUAUUGCACAAUGGGCGAAAGCCUGAUGCAGCCAUGCCGCGUGUAUGAUGAAGGCCUGCGGGUUUUAAAGUACUUUCAGCAGGGAAGCGUUACCCGCAGAAUAAGCACCGGCUAACUCCGUGCCAGCAGCCGCGGUAAUAC